ACGUAGGGUGCAAGCGUUAAUCGGAAUUACUGGGCGUAAAGCGUGCGCAGGCGGUUCUGUAAGUCAGAUGUGAAAUCCCCGGGCUCAACCUGGGAAUGGCAUUUGAGACUGCAAAGCUAGAGUGUGUCAGAGGGGGGUAGAAUUCCACGUGUAGCAGUGAAAUGCGUAGAGAUGUGGAGGAAUACCGAUGGCGAAGGCAGCCCCCUGGGAUAACACUGACGCUCAUGCACGAAAGCGUGGGGAGCAAACAGGAUUAGAUACCCUGGUAGUCCACGCCCUAAACGAUGUCUACUAGUUGUCGGGACUUAAUUGUCUUGGUAACGCAGCUAACGCGUGAAGUAGACCGCCUGGGGAGUACGGUCGCAAGAUUA
rnacentral:rRNA from 1 species